CCACGUAAGAAGUGCCUUUCGCCUCCCGCCAUGAUUCUGAGGCCUCCCCAGCCAUGUGGACCUGUUGUCGCUGCCCUCAGCCUCCAGAUGCAGCCCCCUGCCACCUUCAGGACCCGUGGCUCUCCCCUGGACUCAGUAGUGAAAGGGUUUAUGUGCUCGGAGGGAGUCCUUCAGGAAUCUGUGCAUAGAAUGCCAUAGUGCAGAGGAAAGUCUUCUUUCUGAAAGCAGCCCAACUUUUCUCCCAGAGAGUAUCAUGGAACUGAACUUUCAAGAUCAUGGCAUCUGGACAUCGAGAAAACAGAACCCUCAUCUGGCCACCUGCUGCUUUUUGACCAAUUCCCAUAUAAACCGCUAACUUCAGUCAGUUGGAGGGAUGGAUUUGAGAUUUGCCUUCUGUCUCUCAGCUGAUGUCACCAGCAAUAAAGCCUUCUUCCCUGGC
rnacentral:antisense_RNA from 1 species